UACGGGGGGGGCAAGCGUUGUUCGGAAUUACUGGGCGUAAAGGGCUUGUAGGUGGCCAACUCAGUCAGACGUGAAAUCCCUCGGCUUAACCGGGGAACUGCGUCUGAUACUGGAUGGCUGGAGUGUGGGAGAGGGAUGCGGAAUUCCAGGUGUAGCGGUGAAAUGCGUAGAUAUCUGGAGGAACACCGGUGGCGAAGGCGGCAUCCUGGACCAUUACUGACACUGAAAAGCGAAAGCCAGGGGAGCAAACGGG
rnacentral:rRNA from 1 species